rnacentral:lncRNA from 1 species
AGUAAGAACUCAGUAAAGUAAAGUAAGAAUAAUAUAUUAAUAAAAGGAAAGUCUUACAAAAGUAGAAAGGUACAAGAGCUAUACCAGACUCUCCAGAAGACGACUCCGGAGACCCCGAGCUUCGCUCGACUCGACUCUAACUCCCACUCUAGACUAACUACUACUCUACUUGUAUGCUUGGAACUUGUAAUGCACUCGGCC